ACCUCACUUCGGCGCUUCGGCCAUCUUGGCAUGCAUCUUGGCCUUGGCCGUUGGCCACCUUGCCGUGAUCGUUGUUUGUUUUUAUUUGUGCUUUUUAAGAAUAUUUUUUUAAUUCGGAUACUUUUAUAAUAACUUUAAUAGUAUUAUUAACAGUGCAUAAAAUCAGUUGGAGUAGCAGAAGCAAUGUAGAUAAAAAAUCUGCAGGAAUAACGUUUCAAAGCUUUCCAGAAGAUCCUGCGAAGAAGGCAUGAAGUAUUGAUCAGAUUUGUUAAUAGAGCAGUAUGUUCAAAACAUUUUUUAGAAAAAGAUAUUGACAGAACUUCACUUUCAACUGUUCGUUUGAGAGACCGUGCUGUUCCAAUAGCUUAUAUCACACAGAAUCAGCUGAGAGAAGUGGUCUACAAAAAACCAGGAAGGAAAUGGAAUAUGUGGCUAUGAAAGGCAAAAGAAAGGUUUACAAAGCAAAUGUGACACAUUUUUUUAUAGGAAUAUCAGUAAAUUACAUUAAAAGGUUUUU
rnacentral:misc_RNA from 1 species